AUCACUACUAACACUACCACUGAUCUCAGAGCAGCAGGCUGACAUUACACUACAGCUCUGACUGUGAGAGUCAGUGAUGUCACUACAGACCUCCGAUCAGCUCUGUGGAUGCCAGCCAACUUUACGGUCAUUGUUUGGAGGAAAUUCAUUCACACUAUAGGAGGCUGUUGUCGUAUGUGUUGGGGGAUAUCUGGUCUUUGUUGGCUACCAUAUCAUCUCCUGUCUUCAGAGGUUCAGGUAAAUCUCUUAAUGGAUGAAUCUUUUCAGCUUCGUCUGGAGCUGUUUGACCUAGCGUCAGACCUUCAGAAGGAAACCAUUGAGGAGGAGGAGAAUGAGGAAGGGGAGGUAUACUACUUUGUGGCAGUAUGAUGCAGGCUGUUGUGUCCUAGUUAGAGAUAGUUACAGCAGAGUUGCUGAGCGAGGUUACACUUCUCCCAUUCCGAUUUAGAGUAUGUUAUGUGUGAUCUAGACAUACUAUAUAUUGUGUGCCCUAUUUUGAUUGUUUUUUGGUCUUCAUCUUUCCAAGUCUGCAUAUGUGCCUCAUGCCCUGGCCUUUAAGAGGGCGUAUGCCAUGAAGGUAGUGUGAACAUUCCCAUUAAGGUAGUGUGAACAUUCCCAUUAAGGUAGUGUGAACAUUCCCAUUAAGGUAGUGUGAACAUUCCCAUUAAGGUAGUGUGAACAUUCCCAUUAAGGUAGUGUGAACAUUCCCAUUAAGGUAGUGUGAACAUUCCCAUUAAGGUAGUGUGAACAUUCCCAUUAAGGUAGUGUGAACAUUCCCAUUAAGGCAGUGUGAACAUUCCCAUUAAGGUAGUGUGAACAUUCCCAUUAAGGUAGUGUGAACAUUCCCAUUAAGGUAGUGUGAACAUUCCCAUUAAGGUAGUGUGAACAUUCCCAUUAAGGUAGUGUGAACAUUCCCAUUAAGGCAGUGUGAACAUUCCCAUUAAGGCAGUGUGAACAUUCCCAUUAAGGCAGUGUGAACAUUCCCAUUAAGGCAGUGUGAACAUUCCCAUCAAGGCAGUGUGAACAUUCCCAUUAAGGCAGUGUGAACAUUCCCAUUAAGGCAGUGUGAACAUUCCCAUUAAGGCAGUGUGAACAUUCCCAUUAAGGCAGUGUGAACAUUCCCAUUAGGGUAGUGUGAACAUUCCCAUCAAGGCAGUGUGAACAUUCCCAUUAAGGUAGUGUGAACAUUCCCAUUAAGGCAGUGUGAACAUUCCCAUUGGUUGCAUC